UGCGACUUGUAGAGCUCGUCUCUACGCCUACUCCCUCAAGCAUUCCUACCUGCCGCCGGAAGUCGCCCUUCUUUUUGGGGCAUUGAUGCCUUCAGAAGGCCACGUGAAAAGAGUGUGCCGAAUUUUGAGGUCAGAAGCAUGCCGACAAGUACGCUUCUACACUGACUGCCUGCAGGUUGUGAACCGCAACGAACUGCCUUUCCCCAGUGCCCAGAAGAAGUUUCUUCAAGACCUGCGACUGGCGUCUCAGACUGCCGACUUCCUAUGGGGCAACGUAAUAGU